rnacentral:rRNA from 1 species
UACGUAGGGUGCGAGCGUUAAUCGGAAUUACUGGGCGUAAAGCGUGCGCAGGCGGUUCGUUGUGUCGGCGGUGAAAGCCCCGGGCUUAACCUGGGAAUGGCCGUUGAAACUGGCGAACUGGAGUGUGGCAGAGGGGGGUGGAAUUCCGCGUGCAGCAGUGAAAUGCGUAGAGAUGCGGAGGAACACCGAUGGCGAAGGCAGCCCCCUGGGCUGACACUGACGCUCAGGCACGAAAGCGUGGGGAGCAAACAGG